rnacentral:rRNA from 1 species
AUUGAACGCUGGCGGCAUGCCUUACACAUGCAAGUCGAACGGUAACAGGUCUUUCGGGAUGCUGACGAGUGGCGAACGGGUGAGUAAUACAUCGGAACGUGCCUAGUAGUGGGGGAUAACUACUCGAAAGAGUGGCUAAUACCGCAUGAGAUCUAUGGAUGAAAGCAGGGGACCUUCGGGCCUUGCGCUACUAGAGCGGCCGAUGGCAGAUUAGGUAGUUGGUGGGAUAAAAGCUUACCAAGCCUACGAUCUGUAGCUGGUCUGAGAGGACGAUCAGCCACACUGGGACUGAGACACGGCCCAGACUCCUACGGGAGGCAGCAGUGGGGGAUUUUGGACAAUCGGCGCAAGCCUGAUCCAGCAAUGCCGCGUGCAGGAUGAAGGCCUUCGGGUUGUAAACUGCUUCUGUACGGAACGAAAAGUCUUGGGUUAAUACCCUGGGAUCACGACGGUACCGUAAGAAUAAGCACCGGCUAACUACGUGCCAGCCGCCGCCGUAACAC